AGGCAAGGAGAGUAUGAUUUUCUUUUCACUGAAUUGGUAAAAACCAAAUGAUUGAAAUACUCCCUAUUUAUAGGAUUUUUGAAGUUGGGGCAAAAUAGUAAUUUCAAAACUAAAAUUUUUGAAUGAACGAAUAUGAUCAAUUAUUUUUGAAUGAAUGGUCCAGAUCAAAGCAACAUUUUUACGCGGUAAGAGUUAGAAAAAUGCCUAGGCGUUUUUCAACCUUCUGAGUAUUUAUUGCUUGUUUGACUAAUACCAGCCAACACAUGUUUUAAUUUAAGUCCCGAAAUGAUAGUCA
rnacentral:lncRNA from 1 species